rnacentral:miRNA from 2 species
UGUCAUGGAGUUGCUCUCUAUA